AAACUUAUGUGUCUAAACUUUAAAGUCAUUAUUUUUUGCACUUAACUCAAAACUUUCAAAAAGUUCAUGAUUCAUUUUUGGAGUUCAUGAGGGAGAUUCACAUUCCUUUUAAGGCAUUGAGGAUUCAUUAAGGAACAUAGUGGUGGUGCAUCUUAGAUAUAGGACUAAUGUCACGUUUGUUUUUUUAGUUUUUGAUGAUUUAUUAUGAAUUUUUUAAAUUUUUAGCUAAAUAGAAAAAUUCAAUCAGUUUUUCAAACCGAACCCUACCCACCCAUCCCUUGCAGCUCUCUGCACCCGGCGAUCCUCAACCCUCACCUCAUCCCCAAAGCGGUAAUUUCUUCAUUCUCCUCAUCCAUCGCUCUCCAUCCGAGACUAUACAAUUGGAAAGACGCUCCACUUUCAUUCGACAUCGUUGAUCUGAUCGAAGGCACGACCCCUGUUCAAAGACCGGAGGAAAUUCUCACAGAUGGCUGACCCAUUACUCCAUGGUUAGUAUCCUGUCAGAGGUUUGUACCAAGCUCUUGCCAUUGCUGCAAUGUGUAUGCAGGAGCAACCUAACAUGCGGCCUCUCAUAGCUGAUGUCGUUACUGCUUUAAACUACCUUGCUUCUCAAACAUACAACCCCCAAAUCCAUCCAGUCCAAAGCCACCAGGGGAGCAUUUCUCCCACAACUAGAAAGGACAGUGAUAUGAAGUCAUCGCAGGAAAUGCACCAGAGGAAGACUGAACGAGAAAAGUAAACUAGGAAUCAGGUGGUACCUCCUUUCGACUGUGUUUAUAUAUGAAGUGCCUGGUUAUCGGUUUUUGUAUCUUGGAAGAUAACAGGUGCUAAUUCCUCCCCUCAACCUUAACCUACAGGGAAUUUCUUCACUUCCCCCUUCAUAGUACAUGUGAGCUGGGUUUCCUGUAUGUAAAAUGGCUCUCUGUAGGAACAGACUUACAUUUCUUGUAGUCUUUUCAUUUUCUUUCAUUUUUCUUUCCUCUCUUAUGCCAAUCUUUUCUUUCAUCCAUAUCAAAGAUUCUGCCUAGUGUUUCUUUUCAACACCAUAUCAAAGUGAUCUGCUUACAGUUUCCACUAAA